rnacentral:tRNA from 1 species
GCCGCCAUCGUCUAGUCCGGUCAAGGACGCCGGGUUUUCAUCCCGGAAACCGGGGGUUCAAAUCCCCCUGGCGGCACCA